ACUCCCAAACGAAUGUACACAAGAUUUCAAUUAAUUGACUUGUGAGAAGUAGUUUCUGAAGCCUUCGAGUCCUCUUCAUCAAAGCGGAGAGAUAAUCAAUGAAGUGCGCAAGAUUUGUAUCAAUUCCAGUUUUUUCCGUGUUUCUUGUACUGGGUUUUGUUUACUACAUCACAAUCUUCGUUUUCCUUGAAGAUUGGUUAGGGUUGCAGAGCUCGGCUGGUUCAUUGAACGCUCUGAUCUUCACUUACUUGGCUUGUUUCUCUCUUUUCUCUUUCCUCGUCUGUGUUCUCACCGACCCAGGUGGCGUCCCAUCUGCAUACGUCCCUGAUGUUGAAGAUUCUGAGCUUUCAGAUCAAGACUCCAAGAAAACUGGCACGCGGCUGAGUCAGUGUGACAAGUGUUCUUCAUACAAGCCUCCCAGGACUCAUCAUUGUCGGUCUUGUAGAAGGUGUAUUUUGAGGAUGGAUCAUCACUGUAUGUGGAUAAAUAAUUGUGUUGGUCUUAGGAACUACAAGGCCUUUAUUGUCCUUGUGUUGUAUGCAACUAUGGCAAGCAUUUAUUCUUCGGCUUUGACAUGCUUAGGUUGUUCUAGUAAGCUGCACAGUUCAGAAGGAUUGGAAUUUCUCUGGAAUGGUUUCCCUCAAGAUCUUUUACCAGGUUCAGGAAAAUGCAGGUUUUUGACCAUUGUCUCUUCGCUUAUUCCCCUCCUGUUUUGGUGUUCUCUUAUCACGAACAUUCUAAAAGCAGUGAAAUUUUCAGUUUAUUUCUGGGGUGAUAAUUGUUGGCUUGAGCUUGACACUGGGAACUCUCCUUGGCUGGCAUAUCUACCUCAUCCUUCAUAAUAUGACGACCAUAGAGUAUUAUGAAGCAAUAAGAGCAGCAUGGUUGGCUAGGAAAUCUGGACAAAGCUAUCGUCAUCCUUAUAAUGUUGGCAUCUACAAAAAUAUUACCUUGGUAUUAGGUCCAAACAUGCUGAAUUGGUUAUGCCCCACUGCAGUAAACCAUAUAAAAGAUGGGAUUACCUUUCCUACUAUACGUGAUAGCUCGUGACCUUUUUUGCCUCUACCUAGAUUUUUUUUUUGGCUUCUCAUCCUUGAUUACCUGAUAAAUUUACCUUAUAUAUAAUUUGUAAGCGCAGUUCGUAUGCUUUUGCUCAAGGCAUUUCUUUCUCUCUCUUUCUCUCUCUCUCUCUUUCUCUUUUCUUUUCUUUUCUUUUAUUUAGAAAAAUGUCACGGAGGGUGUUUUUGUGUAUAUUGUUUAUAUAUGUAAGCCAUUCGUUUUACUAAUUUUGUUCAUCUGAUCAAUAAUCAGUCACCCAGUUUAAUUUUGGUUCCAUAGUCAAGAUAUGUAGAUUGCUCUCUA